rnacentral:rRNA from 1 species
GACGAACGCUGGCGGCGUGCUUAACACAUGCAAGUCGAACGGAAAGGCCCUGCUUUUGUGGGUUUCUCGAUUGGCGAACGGGUGAGUAACACGUGAGUAACCUGCCCUUGACUUUGGGAUAACUUCAGGAAACUGGGGAUAAUACCGGAGAGGAGCUCCUGCUCCAUGGGGGGGGUUGGAAAGUUUCGGCGGUUGGGGAUGGUCUCGAGGCUUAUCAGCUGGUUUGGGGGGUUGGGGCUUUCCAAGGCUUUGAGGGGUAGGCGGCGUGAGAGGGUGGCCGGGGUCAUUGGGACUGCGAUACGGCCCAGACGCGUACGGGAGGCAGCAGUCGGGAAUCUUGCACAAUGGGCGGAAGCCUGAUGCAGCAACGCCGCGUGCGGAAUGACGGCUUUCGGGUUGUAAACCGAUUUCGCCUGUGACGAGGAGUGAGUGACGGUAAUGGGUAAAGAAGCACCGGCUAACUACGUG